CCGCGGAGCUGCCGCCGCGGCCGCGGGGGAACCGGGCUCCCGGGACAGCCGCUCCUCCUUUCCAUCCCUGCAGCCCCGAGAGAAGGGGGCUGUGAUGCUCCCAACCCCACCGCAGCCGCCGGGUGGCAACACCGGCGGCAUUAUUUACGUCUUGGGACACUUCUGCGGGGCACCAAGUCCGGCUCCUCAUCACGAACCUGACGCGCAGUUAUCGUGUAAUCGAUAAUAUCAAAUCUCAGAGAACCAUCAGGAAGAUGCUGCAGGGGACCGGAUGGGCUCAAGCUUUGCAGAGCAAUAGACGAGGUUGAUCAACCAGCACCUGCAGGAAUUUCAGAGAAAACAAGACAACAACUGAUCUGAAACUUUAUGAUUCUGCCUGACAUUAUGCUCUGCCUACAGACAUCUGCAGCAGGUGACACAGGAGCAUGUCCAGGUAGGAUUGGAAUGGCCCCACAGAGGGAGACUCCAGGCCCUCCCUGGGCAGCUGUUCCAGGGUUCUGCCACCCUCAGUGCACAGAAAGGCUGCCUCACACUGAGGUGAAUUUCUUGUGUUUAGUUUAUGUCCAUUGCUCCUCAUCCUGUCCCUGGAGACCACUGAAAAGAGCCUGGCACCAUCUCAAAACCCUUAUUCGAGAUACUUAUCCAGGACCAGGCAGCUCCUCUGAAGUCAGUCAUUAUUCCAGCUAUGAAUGACCUCAGAAUGUCAUUCUGUCAGGAAAGCUUGACUGUCAUCCAUGGACAUCUUGAUCAUGCCUCCCUUCCCUGUCACCCUGCUGCUGUGAAGAGGAACUGAACAACAUGAACAAGCUGGUUCAGAGGAGGAUGCUGAGGAAAAGCUGAGAUCUUCAGUGGACCAUGGCAGAAUUGUACAAGCUGGAAACUGUGCCCACUACCUGGAGAAACCUUUCAAAAAUUAACCUGAGAGCAGCUGGAAAAGGUUAGUCUGAUACCUUUUCUUGUAAAUGGGACACAGUCAGGAUCCCCACAGCACCAGGAAGCACCCAACACACUUACACUCUAUGUGAUGCCCGGCUUUGACCUCGGCAAAUAUAAGGAAACCUCUCUGGCCUCUAGUGUUACAGAGUUUCCUUUUAUUUCUUUACUUUUUCAUUUAAAGUAGUCCAAA